UCGAGAAUUUUUCUCAAUGGGGGAAACCCUGAAGGAGCGACGCCGCGUGAAGGAUGAAGGUCUUCGGAUUGUAAACUUCUGUCAUUAGGGAACAAGUGCCGGCAAUUAACUACUGUCGGCUUGAUAGUACCUGAAGAGGAAGGGACGGCUAACUCUGUGCCAGCAGCCGCGGUAAUACAGAGGUCCCAAGCGUUGUUCGGAUUCAUUGGGCGUAAAGGGUGCGUAGGUGGUGCCGUAAGUUGGGUGUGAAACCUCGGGGCUUAACCCCGAAACUGCAUUCAAUACUGCGGUGCUUGAGUACUGGAGAGGAGAUUGGAAUUCGCGGUGUAGCAGUGAAAUGCGUAGAUAUCGUGAGGAAGACCAGUGGCGAAGGCGGAUCUCUGGACAGUUACUGACACUGAGGCACGAAGGCCAGGGGAGCAAACGG
rnacentral:rRNA from 1 species